AUUGAACGCUGGCGGCAGGCCUAACACAUGCAAGUCGAACGAGUGGCGGACGGGUGAGUAAUGUCUGGGAAACUCCCCGAUGGAUGGGGAUAACCACUGGAAACGGUAGCUAAUACCGCAUUCCAUCGGAUGUGCCCAGAUGGGAUUGGCUAGUAGGUGGGGUAACGGCUCACCUAUGCGACGAUCCCUAGCUGGUCUGAGAGGAUGACAAGCCACACGGGCACUGAGAAACGGUCCAGCGUCCUACGGGAGGCAGCGGGGGAGAAUAUGGGACAAUGGGAGCAAGCCUGAUGCCGCGAUGCCGCGUGUAUGAAGAAGGCAUUAGGGUUGUAGAGUACUUUCAGCGAGGAGGCGUUACUCGCAGAAGAAGCACCGGCUAACUCCGUGCCAGCAGCCGCGGUAAUUC
rnacentral:rRNA from 1 species